AUGAACGCUGGCGGCGUGCCUAAUACCUGCAAGUCGAGCGAACAGACGAGGAGCUUGCUCCUCUGACGUUAGCGGCGGACGGGUGAGUAACACGUGGAUAACCUACCUAUAAGACUGGGAUAACUUCGGGAAACCGGAGCUAAUACCGGAUAAUAUAUUGAACCGCAUGGUUCAAUAGUGAAAGACGGUUUUGCUGUCACUUAUAGAUGGAUCCGCGCCGCAUUAGCUAGUUGGUAAGGUAACGGCUUACCAAGGCAACGAUGCGUAGCCGACCUGAGAGGGUGAUCGGCCACACUGGAACUGAGACACGGUCCAGACUCCUACGGGAGGCAGCAGUAGGGAAUCUUCCGCAAUGGGCGAAAGCCUGACGGAGCAACGCCGCGUGAGUGAUGAAGGUCUUCGGAUCGUAAAACUCUGUUAUUAGGGAAGAACAAAUGUGUAAGUAACUAUGCACGUCUUGACGGUACCUAAUCGGAAAGCCACGGCUAACUACGUG
rnacentral:rRNA from 1 species